rnacentral:rRNA from 1 species
GACUACAGCCAUGCCACCCUGAACAUGCCCGAUUUCGUCUGAUCUCGGAAGCUAAGCAGAGUCGGGCCUGGUUAGUACUUGGAUGGGAGACCUAGUACUAGGAAUACUAGGUGCUGUAGGCA